UAAUUGAAGAGUUUGAUCAUGGCUCAGAUUGAACGCUGGCGGCAGGCCUAACACAUGCAAGUCGGGCGGUAACAGGGGGAAGCUUGCUUCUCUGCUGACGAGCGGCGGACGGGUGAGUAAUGUAUGGGGAUCUGCCUGAUGGCGGGGGAUAACUACUGGAAACGGUAGCUAAUACCGCAUAAUGUCUUC
rnacentral:rRNA from 1 species